UCUCUCUCUCAUGGAUGGGCCAAAUUCUUUGGGGGGCCAAAGCAGAGAAAGAGGAGGUAACCUUGCCCCUUAUGACGACGUAUAGGGAUGAUUCCAGAUCGGCCCAUCUGAGCUUUCAUUUUCUCAAAGGCAGAGCAGGAUACCCAGGGCUCGGUUUACACCUAUGACCAUUUCUCGCCACUGGGUGACCAUAGGCAGGCUGAGGGAACACAUAUUAAUGUUAAAAACCCUCAUAAAGUGAAAUUU